AUCCUUCGUUUCCUGAACAUGAUGACUGGGUGUUCAUGCCUUAUGCAUGGGAUGUGCCUCCCUCAAACUUUGUUAUGACGUGGGCACAUUACCAGUCUGACG